AGAGUUUGAUCCUGGCUCAGGACGAACGCUGGCGGCGUGCUUAAUACAUGCAAGUCGAACGAGGUCCAUCCGGUAGCAAUACCGGUGAAGACCUAGUGGCGAACGGGUGCGUAACACGUGAGGAACCUGCCCCGAAGUCUGGGAUAACCCCGGGAAACCGGAGCUAAUACCGGAUGCCCUUGCCGGGCCGCAUGACCUGGUAAGGAAAGAAUUUCGCUUCGGGAGGGCCUCGCGGCCUAUCAGCUUGUUGGUGGGGUAACGGCCCACCAAGGCAUCGACGGGUAGCUGGUCUGAGAGGACGACCAGCCACACUGGGACUGAGACACGGCCCAGACUCCUACGGGAGGCAGCAGUAGGGAAUCUUGCGCAAUGGGCGAAAGCCUGACGCAGCAACGCCGCGUGGGGGAUGAAGGCUCUCGGGUUGUAAACCCCUUUCGACAGGGACGAAAUUGACGGUACCUGUGGAAGAAGCCCCGGCCAACUACGUGCCAGCAGCCGCGGUAAUACGUAGGGGGCGAGCGUUGUCCGGAUUUAUUGGGCGUAAAGCGCUCGUAGGCGGCUUGGCAAGUCGGGUGUGAAAACUCCAGGCUCAACCUGGAGACGCCACUCGAUACUGCCAUGGCUAGAGUCCGGUAGGGGACCACGGAAUUCCUGGUGUAGCGGUGAAAUGCGCAGAUAUCAGGAGGAACACCGGUGGCGAAGGCGGUGGUCUGGGCCGGAACUGACGCUGAUGAGCGAAAGCGUGGGGAGCGAACAGGAUUAGAUACCCUAGUAGUCC
rnacentral:rRNA from 1 species